rnacentral:lncRNA from 1 species
CUUCAGUGAGACACAACAUGGAACUUGCAGACAACGGAGAGAAGCAAGCAGCUGCACCAUUUUGCCUUCCCAUCAGCAGUGCACAAGAGUUCCGAUUUCUCCUCAUCCUGACCUUGAUGAGAAUCCCAGGCAGAGGCUGGCAGGAGGAGGGCUUCUUCACGGACCUCAGGGCAGUGGGCUUGCCCUGUUGGAGCCUGGCUCUUUGCCCUCUCGAUAAAGGCAUCUGCCAAAAGACCAUUCUCUGCUAUUCUGCCCAACUGUACCCAGAUCUCCAGCAGCUUUCUUCCCAUCAGAAACUCCUGGAUCAAGUUCCCGAGUCUCCAGGAAGCCUCCUUAAGCAAGAAGCAAAGCACCUACUGCAUAUGAGAUACUUUCAAAUCCAUAGGCUUGAUUAUUUCUCACCAUAUCCUUAUAAGGCAAGGAUUUUAGUUCCAUUUUACAGAGGAGGAGACUGAGGUUCAGAGAGGAGAAGAGAGUGGUUCAAGGUGAUCCAACUAGCAAGUGGAAGAGCUGGAGUUUAAAUCCAGGGCUGUUUGGCCCC